GUAGGAGGCGUAGUCAUCUUAUGGUUAGCGCGUUGGACUCCGGAUUGAGCGGUCCGGGUUCAAGCCCUGGCCUGGCUCA